rnacentral:rRNA from 1 species
GACGAACGCUGGCGGCGUGCUUAACACAUGCAAGUCGAGCGGUAAGGCCCUUUCGGGGGUACACGAGCGGCGAACGGGUGAGUAACACGUGGGUGACCUGCCCUCAGCUCUGGGAUAAGCCUGGGAAACCGGGUCUAAUACCGGAUAUGACUCCAUGACGCAUGUUGUGGGGUGGAAAGCCUUGUGCGGCUGAGGAUGGGCCCGCGGCCUAUCAGCUUGUUGGUGGGGUGAUGGCCUACCAAGGCGACGACGGUAGCCGGCCUGAGAGGGCGACCGGCCACACUGGGACUGAGACACGGCCCAGACUCCUACGGGAGGCAGCAGUGGGGAAUCUUGCGCAAUGGGCGAAAGCCUGACGCAGCGACGCCGCGUGAGGGAUGACGGCC